CACCCAGGCUGGAGUGCAGUGGCACAAUCUCGGCUCACUGCAACCUCCGCCUUCCGGGUGAGACAGAAUCUUGCUCUGUCGCCCAGGCUGGAGUGCAGUGGCACGAUCUUGGCUCACUACAACCUCUGCCUCCCAGGUUCAAGUGAUUCUCAUGACUCAGCCUCCCAAGUAGCUGGGAUUACAGGCACGUGCGCUGCCACGACCGACUAAUUUUUGUUUAGUAGAGAUGGGGUUUUGCCAUGUUGGCCAGGCUGGUCUAGAACUCCUGGCCUUAAGUGAUCUGCCAACCUCGGCCUCCCAAAAUGCUGUAACUACAGGCAUGAGCCAACACACCCAGCCUCAUACUGGAUAACCAUCCUCUUUCAGUGGUCAGGAUUGCUCACUUUAGUGGAGACCACACACACCCUACACAUCACAGCACAAUCAUGUCAUUAAAAUAGCACAAGCCAGUAUUUAUUCAAUGAUGCACACAUGGAAAACCAAGGGGUCUCAGUUCCAAAAGAAUGCUAGAGGCAGAAGGGACCUAAACGCAAAGGUGUGAAAAAACAGGGUAGGUUCAAGUAUUGAAGGUAUUUUGGUGGGGCUGGUGAACACGGUGCAUUUGGCAGAAUUGCAAAAGGAGACAUUGGACCUGCCCAUCUGAAGAAUUUGUGUACCAAACCAAAGUCAUGAUGGUCUGGCACUCCCCAAACAUAAAACUAUGUGCACCAAUCCAAUGGCUUUUUAAUUUGGGAUGUGAAAUCUCAAAUAUCUCAGAGAAUCAGAGCCAUGCUUCCAGACCAUAAAUCUAUUUGUUAAAAUGCAUUUGUUACCCAUAAAUUGGCACACAUUUCCUGAUAGCAAUGUGGGUGUGACAUGUUUUCACUCUGGUGUUGAUUCAAUGACCUUAUCAGUACUAGCAGGUUAGAAAAUUGAUUUCUCUCCAUUGAAAUGUUUAUUCAGGAAUCUUUCAUCAUGCUUUUCAAACUUGAAACAAACACAGUGCCUAAAAACUUCGCAAUUUUUUUUAAACUAAAGAGAAUACUAGUUAUCAAAUCGUAUUUCUUUUUUAAAUGUACUAUUUCUUUUCCUUUAAAUAAAAGUGCUAACUCUUGUUUUGUUUUGUUUUGUUUUGUUUUUAGAUAGAGUCUCACUCUGCCACCCAGGCUGGAAUGCAGUGGUGCGAUCUUGGCUCACUGCAACCUCCACCUCCUGGGUUCAAGCAAUUCUUCUGCCUCAGCCUCCCAAGUAGCUGGGAUUACAGGUGCCUGCCACUGUAUCUGGCUAAUUUUUGUAUUUUUAGUAGAGACAGUGUUUCACCAUGUUGGCCAGGCUGGUCUCAAACUCCUGACCUCAAGUGAUCUGCCUGCCUUGGCUUUC
rnacentral:lncRNA from 10 species